UCCUUAUCAAGAGAAGUGGAGGGAUAUGGCCCUGUGAAGCUUCGGCAGCGGAUUCCGUUAGGAAAACUGUGCCAAAUCCAUCGGGUGAUCCCGGAAGAUAAGCA
rnacentral:ncRNA from 1 species